AAGCUCCACCGGCUGUCCAGUGGUGGGAGUAAUUUUUGGCGAUUUUUUAGUGAUUUUUGGCGAAGUCCUAGCGGCGCUAGAGUAUCGGACAGGUUAUCCCGGCUCUCCCGCUAGAUUGAUGAGAUCAGGCAUC
rfam:Choloepus hoffmanni cont1.165159, whole genome shotgun sequence.